rnacentral:rRNA from 1 species
GACGAACCGUGCGAACGUUAUUCGGAAUCACUGGGCUUAAAGAGCGCGUAGGCGGCGUCGUAAGUUGGAGGUGAAAUCCCAUCGGCUCAACCGUGGAACUGCCCCCAAUUACUGCGAUGCUUGAGAGAGGUAGGGGCAUGUGGAACUUCCAGUGGAGCGGUGAAAUGUGUUGAGAUUGGAAGGAACGCCAGUGGCGAAAGCGGCAUGCUGGAUCUCUAACUGACGCUGAGGCGCGAAAGCUAGGGGAGCGAACGGG